UAAUGGCCGGCUCAUCACGUCGCGUAUCCGGCUGAUAUCGAAAUACCGUCCUGCUCAGCGAAAAUAUCCUGCAGGCAUGACGUCAUCUCAUAGCAAACUGCGCGGUCAGACAGCUGACUACCUGACGCUUUAUCGCUGGUUUU
rfam:Pantoea ananatis LMG 20103, complete genome.